UUUCAAAAUAAUACGAUAAACAAUAGAUAAUUCAUCGAUUAUAGAUUAGUAACUUGUUGAAAAUGGAAGUAGCCUUUUGGCGCUGAUGAAUGAUGAAUGAUUUACCACAGCUUUGUUCAUUGCUGUGCUUCUAGGGAAACAACUCUCAACCACAUAGUCCCCAGUGAUACAAGCGGAGCCGAUGCAGAAAUAACCGGGGCAUCUGGAGCUAAAUGAGGGAAGGUAAGAAACACUGAAACAUGUUUUUUUCUGUGCUGACAUUUCUUCAGUACUAUGCUUUUGUUGUAUGUGCUGAAAUUAUUAUUUUUACAAGCAGCUAACCGCAAAAAACUAACCGUGAUAUCCGACAGAAUGGUCAGAAGUAAUUAGUCCAAAGAAUAAUGAUUUGAAAUCUCAUGAUGAGGGAACCAACGUGAAGUUGAUAAUAGCCCAUUUAUAUCAAGGUUGUUAUUAGACCACGCACACAGAAAUAUAGCAAUAUGAUGGUGGAAACAUAGAAAGCAUGUGUGUGUGUGUCUCUCUCUCUCUCUCUCUCUCUCUCUCUCUCUCUCUCUCUCUCUCUCUCUCUCUCUCUCUCUCUCUCUCUCUCUCUCUCUCUCUCUCUCUCAGCCUAUUAUUAUCCAAUGAGCAAUAUGCUGAGGAGGAUGACAUCACGUAUUCCAAGGUUGCAGUGGCACAUCCAAAGAAGAAAUAAGAUUGAGAUACCACUCUUUCACUGCAAUAACAAAUAUAUACAAUAUAUAAUAAAAAUAAUAAUUAUAUAUAUAUAACAGCUACAGGUACAAUCGUGUAUAUAUUUAACCUAGGGAUUUUCGGAGUGUCGCUAACCAAAAAUCCCAUGAUGCAUUGUGAUGUACAAGCGCUAUUGGAAGUAUUUGAUUAAAUCUGAUUUGUGUAAUAUGGUAAGAUGAAGAAUCAAUGGUUAAAUUGUACGUCCUCUUAGCUUGUUGCACCACAAAUAUACUUUGGAGUUGUA